UUAAUUUUUGCUAAAAUCCAUAAACUUCAUUCAGUAAAUUAAAAUUUUUAUUGUAAGUAAUCAUGUCACAAACAGAACUUAUUCUGACAAAAACCAGUUAUAGUUACUCUUAAUGCAAUCGUAAUACUUUACACAGUAAAAUGUUUACCAAAAGGUGAAACACAGAUACACCAGAAAACUUUUUUAAAACAUUUGACAGGGGAAACUGUGCCAAGCCAACACCAAUCCAAUUCACAAAAGAACUUAUGCUUGUACCACUUGUACCCAGCUCUCAAAUUGCGUCAACCUUAUCUUAAGUGAUGUUGUUGCUUAAACCGUGCGACAUGUGAUUUGGAGAGAUAAAAUGAUGUCCAAGAAGCUGCUGUUCUGAGCAUUGGUUACCCUUCUCCGGAUAUAGACAUCUAUACAAAAUAUAUAACAUUAAAAGACAGUAGCUAUAAAUUCUUCGUGACUUUAAUGCUUGUUUUUCUUCAUGAACUUCAUUACUUCAAGUGUAAGCUUUGAGUGGAAGUUUUCAAGCCUUAAUAUAAUUGUAUUGUCAAAUACAUAUUCCGAGAAAGAUAA